UGGGGAUUUUUGCACAAUGGGGGAAACCCUGAUGCAGCGACGCCGCGUUAUUUAGAAGGCCUUCGGGUUGUAAAAAUCUUUUCUAUGGGAAGAAAAUGACAGUACCAUAGGAAUAAGGACCGGCUAAUUACGUGCCAGCAGCCGCGGUAAUACGUAAGGUCCGAGCGUUGUCCGGAAUCAUUGGGCGUAAAGGGUACGUAGGCGGGUAAGCAAGUUAGAAGUGAAAUCCUAUAGCUCAACUAUAGUAAGCUUUUAAAACUGCUCAUCUUGGGGUAUGGAAGGGAGAGUGGAAUUCCUAGUGUAGCGGUGAAAUGCGCAGAUAUUAGGAGGAAUACCGGUGGCGAAGGCGACUUUCUGGCCAUAACCUGACGCUGAGGUACGAAAGCGUGGGUAGCAAACAGG
rnacentral:rRNA from 1 species